AUUGAACGCUGGUGGUGUGCUUAACACAUGCAAGUCGAACGGAAACGAUAUCUAGCUUGCUAGAUAGGCGUCGAGUGGCGGACGGGUGAGUAACGCGUAGGAAUUUACCUCUUGGCGGGGGACAACCUGAGGAAACUCGGGCUAAUACCGCAUAAUACCUGAGGGUUAAAGGCGGCUUCGGCUGUCACCAAGAGAUGAGCCCGCGUUAGAUUAGCUUGUUGGUAAGGUAAAGGCUUACCAAGGCAACGAUCUAUAGCUGUUCUGAGAGGAAGAUCAGCCACACUGGGACUGAGACACGGCCCAG
rnacentral:rRNA from 1 species